rnacentral:snoRNA from 1 species
AUAAGGAUGCUGAAGAAAUCAUUCAGAUUCCCACUGAUGUACAUACAGUGAUUGCUACAACCAGCUACUUCUGACUUCC